rnacentral:tRNA from 1 species
GGUUGUGGCUCAGUGAUAGAGCACUUGCCUAGCACGUGUGAGGCCCUGGGUUCGGUCCUCAGCACCA